rnacentral:sRNA from 1 species
CGCAGUAAGGGCAGUGCCAGAGAAAUCGGCUUCUAGAACGUCAAAUUCCAUCUGUUUUGAACAGGGUAGAAAAUGGGGAGUUUUUGCGUGACUCAGAUGAAGUCUUUCACCGAUCAGCUCACUCCUGCGCAAUAGGGCUUGAAGGCGGCUGCUCCCCG